rnacentral:rRNA from 1 species
GUAUCACUGGCUCAGGAUGAACGCUAGCUACAGGCUUAACACAUGCAAGUCGAGGGGCAGCAUGGUCUUAGCUUGCUAAGGCCGAUGGCGACCGGCGCACGGGUGAGUAACACGUAUCCAACCUGCCGUCUACUCUUGGACAGCCUUCUGAAAGGAAGAUUAAUACAAGAUGGCGUCAUGAGUCCACCAUGUUUCACAUGAUUAAAGGUAAUUCCGGUAGACGAUGGGGAGUG